UGUUCCCGCCAUUGAGUUUGAACUUGUGGAUUUUUCUAACUCUCCUGAUAUAUUCACUUCCAAUUUUUCUUUUAACUUCAGUGUGUGCAAUGUUAUCAGCCUGGAGAAUGCCCCAGUAUUUGUAAGGUUCUUUCUCUUCCAGGUUCUUGAUCUUGCUUCCAUUGGGCAGUUCUAUUCCUUCUGUUUUUCUUAUUUUUCCUCUUUUUAUUAUUAAUGCAGCACACUUGUCUAGUCCAAACUCCAUUGUAUACUGAAUAUACGGACAGUGUUUAGCAGUGAUUCGAUUUCUGACUGGGACUUUCCAUACAACUUCAGAUCGUCCAUGUACAGCAGAUGGUUGAUUUUACUUGAUGUUUUAGAUGUUUGGUAUCCCAGGCCUGUUUUUAGUAUUUGUGAAAGUGGGGUCAUGGCGAUUACAAACAACAGAGGGGAUAGUGAGUCACCUUGUAAAAUGCCUCUUCUAAUGCUAACCUGUCCAAAUGUCUCUCCAUUGAUUGUUAACUGUGUACUCCACAUGCUCAUUGCUUUUUUUUAUAAAUAUCUGGAUGUUUUUGCUGACACCAGUUGUUUCUAAACAUUUUAGUAUCCAUGUGUGAGGCAAUGAAUUGAAGGCUUUCUUGUAGUCAAUCCAUGCAACACUUAGAUUGGUUUUUCUUCUCUUGCAGUUUUCUAAAAUCAUUUUGUCAAUCAGCAGCUGGUCUUUUGUGCCUCUGGUGUUCGGGCAAUUUCCUUUCUGUUCAACUGGAAGCUGUUUGUUAGUUAAUAAGUGUUGCAUCACUUCAUCUGCUAUUAUUCCAGUUAAUAAUUUGAACAUGGUUAGCAGGCAGGUUAUCGGUCUGUAAUUACUUGGAACUGCACCUUUUGCUGGGUCUUUCAUGAUGAGAUGAGUUUUCCCAGUUGUUAGCCAUUGUUCAAUAUCACCUCCUUGCAAAAUGUGAUUGAACUGUUUUGAUAGUUGUUUAUGAAGGCUUGUUAGGUUUUUAAGCCAAAAACCGUGCAGUUCAUCGUCGCCUGGCGCAGUCCAAUUUUUAAUUUUCUUUGCUGUUUCACUUAUUAAUUCUGGUGUUAUUAUUAGUUCUUGCAUUUGUUGGUUACAUUUUUUGACCUCUUUCAUCCAGCCUGCUUUUUUAUUGUAAUCUAUUGGAUUGUCCCAUAAUUCCCGCCAGAAUUGCACUGUUUCUUCUUUAUUUGGUGUUUCUAGGUUUCUCGCAGUUUCUCCUUCUAUGCUUUGGUAGAAACGUCUCUGAUUUGACUGGAAUUGGCGAUUCUGCCAGUGUUGUGUAAUUCUGGCUUCAUAUCUGCUAAUCUUCUUUGACACUGCUGUUAUUUGCUGCUUUAUUAUUUCCAGGACUUCUCUAAUUUUCCUUGAAUCUAGGUGGUAUUUUUGGAUCAGAUACUGUUUGGUGUUUGCAUUCUUCAGCUUCUUGUCUUUCAUAUCUUUCAAUUUACUAGCAUCUGAUCUAAGCCUGGAGGUUUUAUUUUCUAAUCUAAUCUUCCAUUUAGGUGAUGUACUGCUUUCUUUUUUGACAGGUCCACUGAUCUUAUAUCUGAGCUCUUGUGUUGUAAUUGUUGCUGCACUGUACAUUAGUUGGUUUGUUUCUUGCAAAUUAUUGGUUGUUAUUUCUGCAAGUGCAGCAUUGACAUCUUUUAAUGCCUGAGCAAGUUGUUUUUGGCAACUGUUUUUAGAGCUGGAAGUCGAACCCUGGUGGUUGUUUGGUUCAUGUGCUCAGUUAUUAUUUGCUUUAGUUCUUGUUGCUUUUCUGUUAAAUGGCAUUCGGGUUUUUGGGGUGAAGGAAAAGGGGAGGCUGCCUGGUUUUGAUUUUGAAACAGUUCAGCAACAGUGGCAUCCUCUAUUUCCAACACCUCCACCACCUGCGUCUGAGCAAGUUCUUCAAUUGGUGGUAAUUCUUCUUCCAUAUCUUGAGCCUGUGUUGCUCUUUGCAGUUCUUCCAGCUCAACUCCUGUGAAUACUUUAUUUCUUGUUAUGAAUCGUCUCUGGUCUGCUAGCCUUUGUUCUGUUAUUUCUGUAUCUGGAUGCUUCUCUUUCCAAAUUUGGUACAUUCUUUUUAAAUAACCUCUUCUAGUUGGACUAGACUUGUAAUAGCAGAUCAUUAUUUCCUUGUUGGCAUUUUUCGUAUAUAUUUUUCGGUUAAGCGACAUUUCUUCCAGUAACCCUGCUGUCUCCAGCCCUGGUUGCUCAACUGAAGAUCCUGAGUCCUGUUGCCCACUUGUCACCAGAUGUCCAGGGACUCCAGCACCUGGCGCGGUCUUUGUUGACCUGGGCGACAACCGAUCCGGUAUAGAUUUAUUAAAGUUACGUCUCCUCAUAUUGUUGAUGGGAGAGGCCCUCUUUGUCUGGCUCCUCUGGUGAGACCUGUCCAGUAUGGUUGGACCUCUAGCAUAGCUCUCACCUUCCUCAGAGCACACAAGCCCCACAACCACGCCAAGGUAGUGCCUCACUGGGGGUUAUAUUAUUAAUUAUUAUUAUUAUUAUUACAUGUAUAUCCUGCUCUUCCUCCAAGGAGCCCGAGCAGAGCGGAAUAUAGUUCUAGCUGUAGUCCACCUUGUGCAGGGAGUCUCCUUGCGCAAGAGCACCACCUUUCUGGGAGCUCUUUGUGCAAGUGCACCACCUCCUCACGAAUAUGGCAGCCAGGAAGGGGCAAUAUUGGCUUUUCAAGGAGUUGGAGCGCAUGCUUUCACUCCUGCUCAGACAGAGGAACCAUGCUGCUCAGUUCAUGGGCAGCUCCUGCCUCCCCUCUGAGGCCAUCUUCAUGAAGGUCUUCUGGCACCUUGAGUGGUGUGGGGACCAUCAGACCUAAGGUCCAAAUUUAAGUUGAUCAAAGCCUCAUUUUAUUACACCCUCCAGGGCUUCCAGGGUGACCCGCCCACAGGCAGCCGUCCUGCCCACUACUGCACCAUGCGACAGCUCUGGGAGCUGGCCAGGAAGCCCAGUUGGGAAUUCACCCAGCCACUCAGAAUUGACCCACUUAGCUAUUGCCUCUUGCACUUCCUUGCCUGCCUCUGCUUCUGCCCGCUUCGUCUCCAUGCAGCACUGCCCACCCCUCCUCACCAGGGGCAUAGCAAGGUUGGAGUGGGCCCAGAGACAAGGUUUAAAAAUGCCACAACACCCCCCACCGAAGCUCAGCUCAUGAAUUAAAGAAAUCUUAAAUGAGGCUGAAUGGUGGUAACAAAAAGCAGUUUUGUAAAUUGUGGACGAUGCAAGUCAUUUAAUGGUACUAAAGAAAGACAUACUGUUCUGGUAGCUCCAGGUCUUAACACUCGCAUCAAUUUCGGAGGAUGAAUACAACUGAAAGAAGCCCAGGCGGGUGAGUGGCUGGGGGAGUCAGUCAUGUGACUUGCCUCUGGGGGGCCCCCCAAGGCAGUGGGCCCCCAGACAACUGUCUCCCCUUGCCCUAUUAUAGUUACGCCCCUGAUUGCAAUGCACUGCAUGGCUGACCUUGUUUUUCUCAUUUUUCUUUUCCAGCACAGCAACCAGAGCCAGCAGUUCUUCAAGAGCCACAGAGGACACACUUUUCCUGUCGGGACAGCAGCAAGGGCAACUCUCUUCAGAAGCCAGAGCCAUAAGAAAAGAACAAAUCAAUGGAGGGAUGGGGUGGCGAUUGGGGGGAAGCAUAGGCCACAGUUUCCCUCCCAGAGCAAGAGCGAGCAGGCAGCCCUUCAGGAACCAUGGAAGCCUCACUAUUCCAACGAGUACAGGAGCAAGAGCAAUCCUUCAAGAGCCAUGUUUUUUACUUCCAAAAUGACCAGAAGUAUUAUGAUAACCUUACAAUACAAAGAAGAAGAAGAAGAAGAAGAAGAAGAAGAAGAAGUCUUUAAAGACACAUUUGUUCACCCAGGCUUUUAAUUAAAUAGUGUUUUAAUAGUUUUAAUAUUGUUUUACAAUAUUUUUUAAAUUUUUAAAUUGUAAUGUGUCAAUCUUUUCUGCUACCAUUUCUUUUGUUUUAAUUAAUGUUUUAACUUUUUCUGUUGUAAACCGCCCAGAGACAUGAGUUUGGGCGGUAUAGAAACAUGUUAGGUAGAUAGAUAGAUAGAUAGAUAGAUAGAUAGAUACCAACAUAGAUAGAUACUAAUAGAUAGAUAGAUAGAUGUCCCCUGCUAACUGGGCAAAGAGGCACCUUUUACCGUGGUGAGUCUCUUUAUUUAGCAGGGGGAGAGUAACUGGCCCUAUCCACCCCCAGCACAGUACUUCCAGUGACUGUUGCUGGUGUGUGUCUUAUGUUUCUUUUUAGAAUGUGAGCCCUUUGGGGACAGGGAGCCAUCUUAUUUGUUAUUUCUCUUUGUAAACCGCCCUGAGCCAUUUUUGGAAGGGCGGUAUAGAAAUCGAAUUAUUAUUAUUAUUUCUUGUUUACACAGUCAGACAGGUGUUAUUGACUGGUUUGUUUUAUCCAGACAUCGAGUCCUUCCCAAGGACCUGGGAUGCCAGAAUUUUAUCAUCAAUACUGUUGGUUAUUAUAUAUAUCGUCGCAAAAUAUAGGCUGUUCCCAGUAAAGCUGCUUUUUGUAAUUG